UACAGAGGUCCCAAGCGUUGUUCGGAAUUACUGGGCGUAAAGGGCGCGUAGGCGGCCCGCUAAGUCGAACGUGAAAUCCCCGAGCUCAACUCGGGAACUGCGUCCGAUACUGGCGGGCUUGAAUCCGGGAGAGGGAUGCGGAAUUCCAGGUGUAGCGGUGAAAUGCGUAGAUAUCUGGAGGAACACCGGUGGCGAAGGCGGCAUCCUGGACCGGUAUUGACGCUGAGGCGCGAAAGCCAGGGGAGCAAACGGG
rnacentral:rRNA from 1 species